rnacentral:rRNA from 1 species
AGUCGAGCGAUGGAUUAAGAGCUUGCUCUUAUGAAGUUAGCGGCGGACGGGUGAGUAACACGUGGGUAACCUACCCAUAAGACUGGGAUAACUCCGGGAAACCGGGGCUAAUACCGGAUAAUAUUUUGAACUGCAUAGUUCGAAAUUGAAAGGCGGCUUCGGCUGUCACUUAUGGAUGGACCCGCGUCGCAUUAGCUAGUUGGUGAGGUAACGGCUCACCAAGGCGACGAUGCGUAGCCGACCUGAGAGGGUGAUCGGCCACACUGGGACUGAGACACGGCCCAGACUCCUACGGGAGGCAGCAGUAGGGAAUCUUCCGCAAUGGACGAAAGUCUGACGGAGCAACGCCGCGUGAGUGAUGAAGGCUUUCGGGUCGUAAAACUCUGUUGUUAGGGAAGAACAAGUGCUAGUUGAAUAAGCUGGCACCUUGACGGUACCUAACCAGAAAGCCACGGCUAACUACGUGCCAGCAGCCGCGGUAAUACGUAGGUGGCAAGCGUUAUCCGGAAUUAUUGGGCGUAAAGCGCGCGCAGGUGGUUUCUUAAGUCUGAUGUGAAAGCCCACGGCUCAACCGUGGAGGGUCAUUGGAAACUGGGAGACUUGAGUGCAGAAGAGGAAAGUGGAAUUCCAUGUGUAGCGGUGAAAUGCGUAGAGAUA